UGCAUUUCUUGCAGUCCUGAUGCAUGGAGAAAUGCUCAACUCCUGAUGCACCUUUUAUACUAAGUGACCCAUAGGUUGAGGAGGCGGUGACCGUGGCAGAGGAGGAUGAGGUAGCCAACAAAUACAAAAACACACACAACUCUGUUCCGCAGGGUAGCUGUUGACAUUAUAGUUGUGCAGGAACUUUGUUGACUCUAGAGAGCCUCGGGCAAAUCGCAUAUCCCCGUGGCGGCGACUUUGCAUGCGGAUGUCAUCCAUAUCAACUUUCGAUUCCAGUUUCUGCGCCUACCAUGGUGACCACGGGUAACGGGGAAUCAGGGUUCCAUUCCGUACAGGGACCCUGAGAAAUGGCUACCACAUGCAAGGAAGGCAGCA